rnacentral:rRNA from 1 species
AUUGAACGCUGGCGGCAGGCCUAACACAUGCAAGUCGAGCGGCAGCGGGAAAGUAGCUUGCUACUUUUGCCGGCGAGCGGCGGACGGGUGAGUAAUGCCUGGGGAUCUGCCCAGUCGAGGGGGAUAACUACUGGAAACGGUAGCUAAUACCGCAUACGCCCUACGGGGGAAAGCAGGGGACCUUCGGGCCUUGCGCGAUUGGAUGAACCCAGGUGGGAUUAGCUAGUUGGUGAGGUAAUGGCUCACCAAGGCGACGAUCCCUAGCUGGUCUGAGAGGAUGAUCGGCCACACUGGAACUGGGACACGGUCCAGAGUCCUACGGGAGGCAGAAGUGGGGAAUAUUGCACAAUGGGGGAAACCCUGAUGCAGCCAUGCCGCGUGUGUGAAGAAGGCCUUCGGGUUGUAAAGCACUUUCAGCGAGGAGGAAAGGUUGGUAGCUAAUAACUGCCAGCUGUGACGUUACUCGCAGAAGAAGCACCGGCUAACUCCGUGCCAGCCGCCGCGGUAAAAC